rnacentral:rRNA from 1 species
AGAGUUUGAUCAUGGCUCAGGACGAACGCUGGCGGCGUGCCUAAUACAUGCAAGUCGAGCGGAAUGAUGAAGAAGCUUGCUUCUUCUGAUUUUAGCGGCGGACGGGUGAGUAACACGUGGGCAACCUACCUUGUAGAUUGGGAUAACUCCGGGAAACCGGGGCUAAUACCGAAUAAUCCAUUUUGCUUCAUGGCAAGAUGUUGAAAGGCGGCUUCGGCUGUCACUACGAGAUGGGCCCGCGGCGUAUUAGCUAGUUGGUAGGGUAAUGGCCUACCAAGGCGACGAUACGUAGCCGACCUGAGAGGGUGAUCGGCCACACUGGGACUGAGACACGGCCCAGACUCCUACGGGAGGCAGCAGUAGGGAAUCUUCCACAAUGGACGAAAGUCUGAUGGAGCAACGCCGCGUGAGUGAAGAAGGUUUUCGGAUCGUAAAACUCUGUUGUAAGGGAAGAACACGUACGAGAGUAACUGUUCGUACCUUGACGGUACCUUAUUAGAAAGCCACGGCUAACUACGUGCCAGCAGCCGCGGUAAUACGUAGGUGGCAAGCGUUGUCCGGAAUUAUUGGGCGUAAAGCGCGCGCAGGCGGUUCUUUAAGUCUGAUGUGAAAGCCCACGGCUCAACCGUGGAGGGUCAUUGGAAACUGGAGAACUUGAGUACAGAAGAGGAAAGCGGAAUUCCACGUGUAGCGGUGAAAU